AACGAACGCUGGCGGCAGGCUUAACACAUGCAAGUCGAACGCCCCGCAAGGGGAGUGGCAGACGGGUGAGUAACGCGUGGGAAUCUACCCAGUUCUACGGAAUAACCCAGGGAAACUUGGACUAAUACCGUAUACGCCCUACGGGGGAAAGAUUUAUCGGAAUGGGAUGAGCCCGCGUUGGAUUAGCUAGUUGGUGGGGUAAAGGCCUACCAAGGCGACGAGCCAUAGCUGGUCUGAGAGGAUGAGCAGCCACACUGGGACUGAGACACGGCCCAGACUCCUACGGGAGGCAGCAGUGGGGAAUAUUGGACAAUGGGCGCAAGCCUGAUCCAGCCAUGCCGCGUGAGUGAUGAAGGCCUUAGGGUUGUAAAGCUCUUUCAGUGGGGACGAUAAUGACGGUACCCACAGAAGAAGCCCCGGCUAACUUCGUGCCAGCCGCCGCUGUAAAAC
rnacentral:rRNA from 1 species